GGAGUUAGCCGGUGCUUCUUCUGUGAGUGAUGUCCUUCCUGCCGGUUAUUGACCCGCAGGCCUUCUUCCUCACUGAAAGUGCUUUACAACCCGAAGGCCUUCUUCACACACGCGGCAUGGCUGGAUCAGGGUUGCCCCCAUUGUCCAAUAUUCCCCACUGCUGCCUCCCGUAGGAGUCUGGGCCGUGUCUCAGUCCCAGUGUGGCUGAUCAUCCUCUCAGACCAGCUACGGAUCGUCGCCUUGGUGAGCCGUUACCUCACCAACCAGCUAAUCCGACAUAGGCUCAUCCGAUAGCGCGAGGCCCGAAGGUCCCCCGCUUUCCCCCGUAGGGCGUAUGCGGUAUUAGCCUGGGUUUCCCCAGGUUAUCCCCCACUACCGGGCAGAUUCCUAUGCAUUACUCACCCGUCCGCCGCUCGCCACCAGGGAGCAAGCUCCCCGUGCUGCCGCUCGACUUGCAUGUGUUAGGCCUGCCGCCAGCGUUCAAUCUGAGCCANAGAGACCAACGUACUGA
rnacentral:rRNA from 1 species